CAGAGGGUGCAAGCGUUGUUCGGAAUUAUUGGGCGUAAAGCGCGUGUAGGCGGCUUUGCAAGUCGGGUGUGAAAGCCCUCGGCUCAACCGAGGAAGUGCGCCCGAACUGCAGAGCUUGAGUACCGGAGAGGAUGGCGGAAUUCCCCAAGUAGAGGUGAAAUUCGUAGAUAUGGGGAGGAACACCGGUGGCGAAGGCGGCCAUCUGGACGGAUACUGACGCUGAGACGCGAAAGCGUGGGUAGCAAACAGGAUUAGAUACCCUGGUAGUCCACGCUGUAAACGAUGAGAACUAGGUGUCGUGGGUGUUGACCCCCGCGGUGCCGUAGCUAACGCAUUAAGUUCUCCGCCUGGGAAGUACGGUCGCAAGACUA
rnacentral:rRNA from 1 species